CCUGAGAGGGCGACCGGCCACACUGGGACUGAGACACGGCCCAGACUCCUGCGGGAGGCAGCAGUGGGGAAUAUUGCGCAAUGGGCGAAAGCCUGACGCAGCGACGCCGCGUGGGGGAUGACGGCCUUCGGGUUGUAAACCUCUUUUACCACUCACGCAGGCCCCGCGUUUUCGUGGGGUUGACGGUAGGUGGGGAAUAAGGACCGGCUAACUACGUGCCAGCAGCCGCGGUAAUACGUAGGGUCCGAGCGUUGUCCGGAAUUAUUGGGCGUAAAGAGCUCGUAGGCGGCGUGUCGCGUCUGCUGUGAAAGACCGGGGCUUAACCCCGGUUCUGCAGUGGAUACGGGCAUGCUAGAGGUAGGUAGGGGAGACUGGAAUUCCUGGUGUAGCGGUGAAAUGCGCAGAUAUCAGGAGGAACACCGGUGGCGAAGGCGGGUCUCUGGGCCUUACCUGACGCUGAGGAGCGAAAGCAUGGGGAGCGAACAGGAUUAGAUACCCUGGUAGUCCAUGCCGUAAACGUUGGGCGCUAGGUGUGGGGACUUUCCACGGUUUCCGCGCCGUAGCUAACGCAUUAAGC
rnacentral:rRNA from 1 species